rnacentral:rRNA from 1 species
AUUGAACGCUGGCGGCAGGCUUAACACAUGCAAGUCGAGCGGAGAGAGGUAGCUUGCUACUGAUCUUAGCGGCGGACGGGUGAGUAAUGCUUAGGAAUCUGCCUAUUAGUGGGGGACAACAUUUCGAAAGGAAUGCUAAUACCGCAUACGUCCUACGGGAGAAAGCAGGGGAUCUUCGGACCUUGCGCUAAUAGAUGAGCCUAAGUCGGAUUAGCUAGUUGGUGGGGUAAAGGCCUACCAAGGCGACGAUCUGUAGCGGGUCUGAGAGGAUGAUCCGCCACACGGGGACUGAGACACGGCCCAGACUCCUACGGGAGGCAGAAGUGGGGAAUAUUGGACAAUGGGAGGAAGCCUGAUCCAGCCAUGCCGCGUGUGUGAAGAAGGCCUUAUGGUUGUAAAGCACUUUAAGCGAGGAGGAGGCUACUUUAGUUAAUACCUAGAGAUAGUGGACGUUACUCGCAGAAUAAGCACCGGCUAACUCUGUGCCAGCCGCCGCAGUAA